UGGGGAAUUGUUCGCAAUGGGCGCAAGCCUGACGACGCAACGCCGCGUGGAGGAUGAAGACCUUCGGGUCGUAAACUCCUUUCGAUCGAGACGAAUGGCCUCCGGGUGAACAAUCCGGAGGAGUGACGGUACCUCCAAAGGAAGCGCCGGCUAACUCCGUGCCAGCAGCCGCGGUAAGACGGAGGGCGCAAGCGUUGUUCGGAAUUACUGGGCGUAAAGCGCGGGCAGGCGGUCUGUUAAGUCGUUUGUGAAAAUCCGGGGCUCAACCCCGGAAAUGCAUACGAUACUGGCAGGCUGGAGACUGGUAGAGGCUAGCGGAAUUCCUGGUGUAGCGGUGGAAUGCGUAGAUAUCAGGAAGAACACCAGUGGCGAAGGCGACUUCCUGGGCCAAUACUGACACUGAGGUGCGAAAGCGUGGGUAGCAAACAGGAUUAGAUACCCAAGUAGUCCCUGAGCGGGCUGGCAAGGCGCAU
rnacentral:rRNA from 1 species